rnacentral:rRNA from 1 species
GGGCCCGCACAAGCGGUGGAGUAUGUGGCUUAAUUCGAGGCAACGCGAAGAACCUUACCUGGUCUUGACAUGCCCGUCAUAGUUUUCCGAAAGGAAUUCGUCAGUUCGGCUGGACGGUGCACAGGUGCUGCAUGGCUGUCGUCAGCUCGUGUCGUGAGAUGUUCGGUUAAGUCCGGCAACGAGCGCAACCCUCGUUCCUAGUUGCCAGCGGGUAAUGCCGGGGACUCUAGGAAGACAAACCUCGUGUAGAGGUGGGAAGGUGGGGACGACGUCAAGUCAGUAUGGCCCUUACGACCAGGGCUGCACACGUGCUACAAUGCCCAGCACAAUGGGAUGCAACGCCGCGAGGUUGAGCAAAUCUCUUAAAGCUUGUCUCAGUUCGGAUAGGAGUCUGCAACUCGACUCCUUGAAGUUGGAGUCGCUAGUAAUCGC